rnacentral:misc_RNA from 1 species
UGGCUCUCGCAUCGAUGAAGAACGCAGCGAAUUGCGAUAUGUUAAUGUGAAACGCAGAACAGUGAAUCAUCGAGAUUUUGAACGCACCUUGCGCCCUCCGGUCUUCCGGAGAGCAUGCCUGUUUGAGUGUCGCUAAAAACCCAUAGGCCGAAAGGUCUGAUUCGGAUGUGUGCCGUUGUCUGGCUCCGUCUUAGAUGCAAUUGGAACGUGGCUGAAGCCGCGUCCCUGAGACAUUUGAUCGUAAUUACCUUCACGCGUCUCGAGGAUGCUUGGUUUUCAUGCUCCCCAAGGCUGUCCCCCUCGUGGUGUUGCCUUGUGGCCUUUUUAACGACGUGGCCUCAAAUCAGGUAGGACUACCCGCUGA